UUUUUUCCAGAGAUUUUUCAGAGAUGAGCCUUAUUCAUGCAUAGAAAGAAUUUCCUUUUGAUUUAUGCCGAACUACUUUUGUAGGAUGCAUUUCUCUGGUGGUUAGUAUGGUUUUGUUAAUCUUUUGUUGUGCUGUGUUAAAUGCAGUUAUUUUCUGAUGGGAAGACAACUAAAAAGCAGAAUUCUUCAGGAGACCCAGCUGAGGGUGUAAAGAAUGACCUUGCAGAACCUUCCAUUAACAGGAACCUCUGACUGAAACUGCGCAUAGGAGCUUUGUUCAUCUCUGAUCUUUCUCCCUGCCAUUUUUUUCCAGCAGCAGCAGUAUGCUCCUCUCUUUCUCAGUCACUGAGAUGGCCAUGCCUGUUUCCCUGGAAAUAGCACUGAAGCUGAGGCCCUGCAGAUCAGCUCCUGUGUGCUCUGAUCUGAACCUGCCGACCCCAGCCAGAAUUCACCGUGCCAGAUCUUUGGUCACAUCACCUGACACCAGGCUCCUCAGAUGGAUUGGCUGCAAUGGUAAUCAAGAGAAGAAGACCAUAAUAUUAUCCACAUGAAAUCUGGGGAAAGAGAAAAGGUGUGUUUUGGAAACCUGGUAUCCUUAUAAAUUUAUUGAAGAUGGAUUGAAAAGCAAGGAAAGAAGAAAAAAAAAUAUUAUUUAGAGGCAAUAUUCUUAGCUGGUGAUGCCAUUCCUAGCCCAGCUAACGAGGGAAUUACACUGUCCUUAGGUUUCUGACAUGUGUUGCUCUUGUGUUUUGCUCAUACAUAUGUAAACUUAGCAAAUAGCGCAGAAAUUUCAGUGGAAGCUGUAACAACUCUGCAGUGCUUCUUGGACUGGUUCAAGGCUUCUCAGCAGAGCAGACAAAAUUGUAUUUUCUGAUCCAAGCCUGAGGGCUGGAAGCACAAGUGGGACAGCGGGUAGGUCUGAAAAACUGGGUCAUGGACUCACACUCCCUGGGGAGGCUGGAGGGAGCCGGGAGGCUGUGACUGCUCUCCAGCGUCAGAGAAACCUGUGUUUGUCCACUUCAUUUGGGCCAGGAGCCGCCCUUUUGUAAGUAGGUGAGAACAAUCUGUCCACCAUUAAAGUUCAGUCUUGAUUGCUAUUAUCUGCAGGGUGACUGAAGUCAGGCAGCUUCUGUAGAGAUGCUUGUCUUUUCCCAUUUUUUAGCAGCUGUAUCUGGUGUUUUGUUGUGUGUGCCCGGUCUCUGAACUGUUCCACCUAUUUUCAGCCUUUUUGAGUUGAAGCAUCUUUUCUUCAUAGUAUUUAUUGUCUUGCUGAGAUAGGGAACAUCCCUUAAGAGGUUUAGGAUGAUAGACGUGCAUGAUGGUAAAUCUUCCUGCUGCUGUGGAAUGGUAGUUGUGCAGUGGUGGAUGCUGGCUGAUAUGUAGUGUUGCUGCCCACAGCCAGGAAAAAGAACAUCCAGAAGGUAACAAAAACAUUCUUCUUUUCUCAAGUGGAUUUCACGAAGGUCUGAAAAUGAUCACUUUUUAAUGUUCUUCUACAUUGGACAUGUACUCUUCCCAGGGCUUGCAUUCAAAUUUUAAUUCUUGCAACAUAGUUAUAAGUGAAAAUGGUUAUUUCCAUACCUUCUAUCUCUGAGCAGGUGAAUAUGUUAGCCUCUUUAGGAAUAUUUUACAUAUUUUUCUCUUUCUGAAUCAUGUUUAUAAUGCACUUCAAUGAGCAAGGUUUCCCAGUGUUAGCUGCAUAGGGAUUUAUGCAGAAUUUAAGAUUUAAAUGUAUUUAUUUUAUUUUCCUCUUGUUGCUCUCAUGACUUGAUAUGUAAUGGCUCACAAAGGAGACCAGGUGCAAAGUGUCCAUAGACAGCAGGUGGCGUUUGGGCUCUCAAAUCCACAGGGAAAUGUUCUGUUAUCCCCUGUUAGCAUAAGAAGUUUCAUGGCUGAUGUAAAGUAACACAAAGGUUCAGAUGACAAUCAGAUUCACAGAUGCUGUUUCUAGAAAGACAAAUUGCAAAGGACUCUUGAAGAUGCUAAACUUGCAUAGUAGUUGUCUAUAAUGUGAUUUGGAAACUUUAGUGAAGAGAAUAGCAGAGCGAGCUAUUAAAAUUCAGUUUUACAGCCAACAGGAAAGGUAUCAUGAGCUGGCAUUUGAUUCUGCUCUCUUUUGUUCUUGUUUUGCUUAAUUAAAGAGCACAAAACUAACCUGAAAAUGUCUGUACAAGUACAACAUACAUCUAUUUCCAGGGUUUAUCUGCAGUAAUGUUAAGAUAGAAGAUUUUUUCUUUAUUAUUAUCUUUUUGCAGACGACUUUUAUCUAAUAAAUAUAAUGAAGGCAGCAAGGCAGCUGUGUGUUUCAGUUUUCAGAUGGUGCUGGGCAUGAUUAGCAUAGAAGCAGGCAGUAAGGAUUAAACGACAGACUCAGAUCACUUUCAGGCUCUUCCUCAGGGUACUGUUUCUUUUUUGUUGUUGUUUGAAUUAAUAAACUCACAAGGCAACACAAAAUGAAGCGUAAUUCCUCAACCAACACAGCUACUGGCUGCCUCCCUCACUUGCCUGGGGCUGGUUCCAGGAGUCACCUUCCCCUGCUCACCCUGGCAAAGUAGGAAAGACCAAAAAUGGGCUGGAAGAAGGGUUGCUGAGUUUUGUAAAAGUCAGGCUGUGUUACAUACACAGAUAAUAUGAGGGUUGGUGGAAGGUGGGGAUUCAGGGUUGGGUGCUCAGGAACACACCCUGCAUUGCUCUCGGGGGCAGGUGUCUUUCCAUUUACCCUUGAAGCAAUGUAGGACAGCUGCUCUCUGAGCUUAGGCAGUAAUCUAUAUCUCAGAGGCAAGGCCAUGUAGGUGACUCUUUGAAUUUCCUUUUACAUGGUGGAGUUGGUUCUGUAUCAAAUCUUCCGCAUUCUGUAGAUGAAUAUCAUGAAUUUGGCCGGUGAACGUUAAUCAUGACUGUAUCCCUUUAACAAAUGUAAUGAUGUAUAACUAGGCCCACAGUAAGUAAUUACUUGGACUCUCUUACUAAUUAAUUACCUGAGGAUAUUUAUGGUCUGUUCAGCACAAGAACAACUGGCGUUAUCCAUUAAAAAAAAAAAAGAAGAGCAUUUGCAGAAAUGUUCCUAGUGUAAAGUGUGUUAACUUAAUGCUUGAUUUCAAGAACAAAUGUUAAUACAUCUUUUUUUUCUACUGAAAUAACUCAAUUCCAGCCCCUCUAGUUCAUAAACAAGUCAUUUAUUUACUCCAAGUAAAUAUUCCAAAGUCUUCCAUUAUGAAAUUGUAGAAAUUAGAGGUGAAAAUGAUGUGUUUAUUUCUGCAGCUUAUUUCCUUUUCCUUCACAGAGUUGGUUCCCCUAGAAUACAUGCUGAUUUUGUGUACUGCAGAAUAGCCUCCCCCUGGGAGUUACACACAAUGGGUUAAUUUCCAACAUUACUGAAAUCAGAACUUUUGUUUUUAUUGAGUGAUGAUUUCAUAUAACAGAUUUCAACUCUACUAUUAAGUGUGGCAAGCAGAAGAACUGGAAAUUCUCCUUACUUUGGCUUAGUGAUGCAGUGGGAUGGAUGAUCAGAUCUUCCCAGUGGAAAUUCCUCUAGGUGUGGAAAUGCAGUACAAUUUUAUGUCUGUGUGUCCUGCUGUUGUAACAUCCAUGGCAAUAAGUCGAUCCUCUGAGCCACAGAAUCUGCUCUCUAUAUCAGUGCUUAAAAAAAAAAAAAAAAAAAUAUAUUUACUAGUCAUAUUUCCUAGAUGAACAAUGGAAUAAAGGAUUGCUCAAAAA